GACGAACGCUGGCGGCGUGCUUAACACAUGCAAGUCGAACGGUGAAGCGCCUUCCUUUUUGGUGGGUGUGGAUGAGUGGCGAACGGGUGAGUAACUCGUGAGUCACCUGCCCCCUUCUUCUUGAUAACCGCAUGACGGUGUGGCUAAUACGGGAUAUUCUGGGUCUGUCGCUUGAUGGGUCUGGGAAAGAUUUUGUUUCUGUGGGUGAUGGGCUCGCGGCCUAUCAGCGUGUUGGUGGGGUGAUGGCCUACCAAGGCGGUGAUGGGUAGCCGGCCUGAGAGGGUCGACGGUCACACAGGGACGGAGACACGGCGAAGACUCCGAGGGGAGGCAGCAGGGGAGAAUAUGGCACAAUGGGAGCAAGCCUGAUGCAGCGACGCCGCGUGAGGGAUGGAGGCCUGCGGGUUGUGAACCUCUAUCGGCAGAGAAGCAGGCCUGCAGCGUUUGUGGGUGGGUUGACGGUAGCUGGAUAAGAAGCGCCGGCUAACUACGUG
rnacentral:rRNA from 1 species